GCCGCGAUCGUCUAGUGGUUAGGACAUUAGUUUGUGGUUAAUGAACUGAUCGGAAACACUGAAAACGGCGGUUCGAUUCCGCCUCGUGGCA